GACGAACGCUGGCGGCGUGCCUAAUACAUGCAAGUCGAGCGGACUUGAAGGAGUGCUUGCACUUCUGAGAGUUAGCGGCGGGCGGGUGAGUAAUACGUAAGCAACCUGCCCCCAAGACUGGGAUAACUACCGGAAACGGUAGUUAAUACCGGAUAAUCCAGUACAUAGCAUUAUGUGAUAAUGAUAGACGGGGCAAUUCGUCACUUGGGGCUGGACUGGCGGCUUAUUAGCUAGUUGGUGGGGUAGUGGCUGACCAAGGCAUUGACGGGUAGCCGGCCUGAGAGGGUGACCGGGCACAUUGGGACUGAGAUACGGCCCAGACUCCUAAGGGCGGCAGCAGUGGGGAAUAUUGCACAAUGGGCGGAAGUCUGAUGCAGCAACGCCGCGUGCGGGAUGACGGCCUUCGGGUUGUAAACCGCUUUCGCCGGUGACGAAGCGUGAGUGACGGUAAUGGGUAAAGAAGCACCGGCUAACUACGUG
rnacentral:rRNA from 1 species